GAUGAACGCUGGCGGCGUGCCUAAUACAUGCAAGUCGAGCGAACAGACGAGGAGCUUGCUCCUCUGACGUUAGCGGCGGACGGGUGAGUAACACGUGGAUAACCUACCUAUAAGACUGGGAUAACUUCGGGAAACCGGAGCUAAUACCGGAUAACAUGUUGAACCGCAUGGUUCAACAGUGAAAGACGGUCUUGCUGUCACUUAUAGAUGGAUCCGCGCCGCAUUAGCUAGUUGGUAAGGUAACGGCUUACCAAGGCAACGAUGCGUAGCCGACCUGAGAGGGUGAUCGGCCACACUGGAACUGAGACACGGUCCAGACUCCUACGGGAGGCAGCCGUAGGGAAUCUUCCGCCAUAGGCGAAAUCCUGACGGAGCAACGCCGCGUGAGUGAAGAAGGUCUUCGGAUCGUAAAACUCUGUUAUUAGGGAAGAACAAAUGUGUAAGUAACUAUGCACGUCUUGACGGUACCUAAUCAGAAAGCCACGGCUAACUACGUG
rnacentral:rRNA from 1 species